rnacentral:rRNA from 1 species
UGAACGCUAGCGGCAGGCUUAAUACAUGCAAGUCGAGGGGCAGCAUGAACUAGCAAUAGUUUGAUGGCGACCGGCGAAACGGGUGCGGAACACGUACACAACCUUCCUUUAAGUGGGGAAUAGCCCAGAGAAAUUUGGAUUAAUACCCCGUAACACAACGAAGUGGCAUCACUUUGUUGUUAUAGUUUCGGCGCUUAAUGAUGGGUGUGCGUAUGAUUAGAUAGUUGGCGAGGUAACGGCUCACCAAGUCUACGAUCAUUAGCUGAUGUGAGAGCAUGAUCAGCCACACGGGCACUGAGACACGGGCCCGACUCCUACGGGAGGCAGCAGUAAGGAAUAUUGGUCAAUGGACGCAAGUCUGAACCAGCCAUGCCGCGUGAAGGAUUAAGGUCCUCUGGAUUGUAAACUUCUUUUAUAUGGGACGAAAAAAGGUCUUUCUAGACCCCUUGACGGUACCAU